GAUGAACGCUGGCGGCGUGCCUAAUACAUGCCAGUCGAGCGAACAGAUGAGGAGCUUGCUCCUCUGACGUUAGCGGCGGACGGGUGAGUAACACGUGGAUAACCUACCUAUAAGACUGGGAUAACUUCGGGAAACCGGAGCUAAUACCGGAUAAUAUAUUGAACCGCAUGGUUCAAUAGUGAAAGACGGUUUUGCUGUCACUUAUAGAUGGAUCCGCGCCGCAUUAGCUAGUUGGUAAGGUAACGGCUUACCAAGGCGACGAUGCGUAGCCGACCUGAGAGGGUGAUCGGCCACACUGGAACUGAGACACGGUCCAGACUCCUACGGGAGGCAGCAGUAGGGAAUCUUCCGCAAUGGGCGAAAGCUUGACGGAGCAACGCCGCGUGAGUGAUGAAGGUCUUCGGAUCGUAAAACUCUGUUAAUAGGGAAGAACAAAUGUGUAAGUAACUAUGCACGUCUUGACGGUACCUAAUCAGAAAGCCACGGCUAACUACGUG
rnacentral:rRNA from 1 species